GAAAGAAAGAAAGAAAGAAAGAAAGAAAGAAAGAAAGGGAAAAAAGAAGAAAUAAAGGAAAAGAAAGAAAAGAAAAUCUAAUGCCCCGCUCCAUGGUCCAUGGAAAAAUUGUCUUCCAUUAAACCGGUCUCUGGUGCCAAAAAUGUUGGGGACCAUUGCUUUACAGAGCACAUAACAUGCACUUGAUCCAUGGUAGCUGCCAUUAGCUGGGAUGUCCAUUCAUUUCUGGAUUCAGCAAUGAGGAUGGACGGAGGUGACGAUUGUGGUAAUUGGGGAGGAGUUGCUGCGAGUGGUCAUUGCUGGGUUGUUGGUGUCAUUGGUUGUGGUGGUGGUUGUGGCUGUUUCUUGUUGCAGGUUCGUGGUGAUAAUGGCUCUUGCAGGUGGGCUGGUGGUGGUGGCGGUUGGUGUUUAAUGUUGUUCGUUGGUGGUGGAUUGUUUUCAGCUGGAAAUUCUGGAGAUGCUUGGUGACCAGUGGAAUGAUGACCAUCGGUGGUUGCUGUUAUUUGGAGAGGAAAGGUGUUGGUAGUAGCGUUCAUUUGCUGCUGGUAGUUUAUUGUUGGUUUCUGGUAAGAUGAUGAUCAGCAAUGGUGGUGCUGGUUCAAUGUUGGGUUUUGAACAGGAUAGGACUGGUGACUGCUGCUUUCUGUGGUUGCUAAUGGUAGUUGGUUAUGUGUGGUUGUUGAUGGCUAGUAUUGUUUUUUUGUUUUGUUUUGUUUCUGAGACAGAGUCUCGCUCUGUCACCCCGGCUGGAGUGCAGUGGUGCAAUCUCGGCUCACUGCAACCUCCACCUCCUGGCUGAGGCAGAAGAAUGGCGUGAACUCGGGAGGCAGAGCUUGCAGUGAGC
rnacentral:lncRNA from 10 species